rnacentral:tRNA from 5 species
GGGGCCAUAGCUCAGUUGGGAGAGCGCGUGAAUGGCAUUCACGAGGUCAGGGGUUCGACUCCCCUUGGCUCCACCA